GAGUUUGAAACAGUAAUGCCACCUUGGUGACUGAGUUUUUCUUCAUUGAUGCAAUUUUCCAGCAAACACCAUGUGCUUUUGAUUGGAACUCCUCUCUAGGAUUACGACACAAUAGUAGUGGAAAGAAAGAUUGAACUAUCUAGAGGGCAGAAACAAUGGGUGGAAAUUGCACGAGAAUAGUGAAGAAUACAAAAAAUAUUACUACUAUAUGAGGCCAUUAGUGCAUUUGAUGCAUCUGAAAAAGUGGUUCAAGAUGCACUAGAGCGUGUUAUGG